AGACAUCCUCAAGCAUGACCUAAAAUUUAGCUGCAUGUUCCUGCUCAUGGUAUUGGCUUGCAGCCCAGACUGGGCCUCCUGUUCCUCUGGGCCAAGAGGUAGCCUAUAGCCAUCAAGACCAGUAGCCAUUGACAGAUCCAUCCUCCAAAGGAUUACAUCAUUACAUCUGGAAGAAAAUCUCCCAGAACUGCUUCAGUCAGAGUUGGCAACCCUAAGUUUUGUACAUUCAGGUUUGGGAACCGGAGGUGAGAGGACCUGCCACCACACACAGCCCACUCAUGAACUUCUGAGUGGCGCUGCGCCACGCCCGGAAAAGCGGUGGGGCAGUGGAGGAGCAGGCCAUGAUCCAGAGAAGAGACACCCACUCAUGGGUGACACCACCCAGGCAACUGCCUUGCCUGCAGUUAUCAAAAGAUGUCAUUUCAAUAAGCUAAGUAAACACGCAUAAUCAGAAACGGUGCGUGUGUGUGUGUGUGUGUGUGUUCAGCACAGGUCCCUCUUGCUUUUUCAGUUCUCACUCAACAUGGAAGUAGUCAGCACUGUUCCCAAAGUAAACAAAAUUGAGAUGGUUUUAAAAAUUAUAUGAUGGGCAGGAUAGGCCAAAUUCAUGUGGAGGUGGGACAGAGCAGAUGAAACUAAGUCCCAGGUGGGCUGAAAGGAAGCAGACAAGCAGACUGAGUGGGUGGGAGAGUACCAGAUCUUAUGCUCGGGGUGGAUCCUAUCCACAGAGAGUUGUGAAGAAAAAAAGAAAUGGGAGCAACUGAAAAUGUGGACUAAUAAUUGAGUAAGAUGUCAGCCAAGCAAGGAUAGGCAAUGUCCUGCUAUUUCUUGGAAUAAAACCAUGACUUCUACAUGCUCCUAAGCAAAAUAUAGAUUUAGGGAGUUUCUGAUUAAUUAGAUAUAUGAGAUGGAAACAAUCUACUAAGAGGAAAUGAUAAAUAUUACAAAUCUGGUUAUGUGAUUAAAACACUGGUAGUCAAAAGUGAUUAGCACAGUUCAGGAUCCUGCACCAAAUGAAAUUUGGAGAGUCUAUCAUAAGAACAUAAGCAGCCCUGCUGGAUCAGGCCCAAGGCCCAUCUAGUCCAACAUCCUGCUUCACACAGUGGCCCACCACAGAUGCCUCUGAGGAGCCCAUAGGCAAGAGGUGAGGGCAUGCCCUCUCCUGCUAUUGCUCCCCUGCACCUGGUAUUGAGAGGUAUCAUGCCUCUGAGGCUGGACGUAGCCCACAGCCACCAGACUAGUAGCCAUUGAUAGACCUGUCGUCCAUGAAUUUGUCUAAGCCCCUUUUAAAGCCAUCCAAGCUGAUGGCAUCACCACAUUCCAUAGCAAGGAAUUCCAUAGAUUAAUUAUGCACAGUGUAAAAAAGUACUUCCUCUUGUCGGUCCUAACUUUCAGUUUCAUGGGAUGAUCCGUGGUUCUAGUGCUGUGAGAGAAGGAGAAAAAUUUCUCUCUGUCCACCCCCUCCACUCCAUGCAUAAUUUUAUAGACCUCUGUCAUGUCUCCCUGCAGAUGUCUUUUUUCUAAGCUAAAAAGCCCCAGGUGUUGUAGCCUUGCCUCGUAAGCAAGGUGCCCUAGGCCCCUGAUCAUCUCGGUUGCCCUCUUCUGCACCUUUUCCAGUUCUACAAGAGCUUUCUUAAGAUACGGUGACCAAAGCUGUACGCAGUACAAGGCAUUAUAUGAAAUUCAAGUGGAGGUGGGCCAAAGCAGAUGAAACUCGGUCUCAGGUGGGCUGAAAGGAAGCAGACAAGCAGUCUGAGUGGGUGGGAUGUAUUCUGGAUAUUUCCCUCCAUCGUAAGGUUACUACUGAAACAGACUAUUUUUGCUAGAAUGGUUACUGAAGAAUUUGGGGUCAGCGUGUACUGUUCUAACCAUGUAAAUAUCAAUCUGAAAAUUCAUGCAUUUCCUGAAAUCCACAAUGCUUUUGAUGAAUUAGCUUACAGAUCACAUGUAUGUGAAUGAACAGUAUAUAUGCUCAUUAUAUGUUAAACUUUAUGUGCCUUUUCAUCUCCAUUGUUAUCACACAUAAGCUAUUCAUGGCAAACCAUCCCCCCCAAAAAUAUUUCAAUCCUUUUUGUGAUUUAUCUUCAUUCUUACAAGCAAAACAUGUGUGCCGAAGUACAGCCAUUGCCCUUAAAACUACAAAACCCAUUAUACUAUGUGACUGCAAGUAAAACAUGCAUUCAUGAAAUCAUCCAUGGCUUCCAAAUGAAGCAGUCAGAUUAUUUAAGAAAGCAAAGGAGUUGCUAAAUAGCAUGCUACUAGGCUUGUUUGAGCCUGGAAAUAGAUUGGCAGAUUAGCAGUUUAUACCUCUCCUGGUCUGCUGAAGGUGAUGAAAAGGGAGGGAGGGAUCAGUGGUGUAGGCAGAUAUUCAGGUAGAGAGAGAGAGAGAGAGAAGGGCAAUUAUGUUAUUUGUAGAGCACCCAGCCAGGAUUCGACACUGACUCGACGUCACUACUUUACUUUUACUUUAAAUCAUUCUAGGGCAAUUUCCCUGCCAAGCAUUCAUAUAUGGAAAAAGAAAGACAGAAAGGCAAGUGGAAGGAAGGAAGGAAGGAAGGAAGGAACAGAGAGAAAAAGAAAAGAAAGAGGAAGAAGGGAGAAAGAGAAAGAGAAAGAAAGAAAGAGGGAAGGAAUGAAGGAGAAAAGAGAGAGAAGGAAGGAAGGAAGGAAGGAAGGAAAACUGCUCACUACCAAGCCAGUCUUAGGCAGAGCAUCUGGCAUCAAGCUCAUGUCUGGGAGCACAUGGAGGAAGCCUGGGUCAGCUAUAGAAUCCCAAUAGAACAAAAACCAAAAACAAAGGAGGCUUCCAGAAUAGGGGCUUCCUCAGUGACAAUGGGCAGGUGUGCUCAUAUCUGGUAAGGAGGGCUAUGGAGUGGAGUGGGUGAGGCAAUACUACCUGGCAGAUACACUGUGCAGACCAGUGGCUACUUUGCCAGUAUGCCCUUCCAAACAAGGCAGGGCUGGUUCUCGAUGGGAGGCUAAGUGCAUACAAUCCCCAGUCCAAUGAGGAGAGGAGAGCUGGUCUUGUGGUAGCAAGCAUGAC